rnacentral:lncRNA from 1 species
ACAUUUUGAGUUCUUCUGUCUACCUGGACAGCCAUACAGUAACUACACCUGUUUCUCUUCCAAAAUACAGGAUGAUGCCCAUUCUAUUUCCUAGGAAGGGAUAAGUUUUAAGGCCUUAUAAAAAGUGACACAAAGUGAACCGGGUUCUAUAAAUUACCAUGGAAAGUGGUGAGCCAACGAUUUGGCAGAACAAAACCCUGAGGAUAUGCAAACAAAAGGGACUAUGGAAUUUGCAAUUGCAGAUUAAAAUUGAAGAAGAAAACAUUUGAGUUGCAAAUACCGUAUUAAAAGUGGACACUGCUUAUGACUGCUGUAUGCAACAGUUUUUCAGGCCCG